UUAAUUGAAACCAAAAAGAGGUGUAUCACUGUUAAUGAUAAUAAUGAAUUUUUUAAUUCCAGUUAAA
rnacentral:tRNA from 2 species